UACGUAGGAUGCAAGCGUUGUCCGGAUUUACUGGGCGUAAAGCGCGCGCAGGCGGCAUACCAAGUAUUCAGUGAAAUCUCCCUGCUCAACGGGGAGGGUGCUGAGUAGACUGGUAAGCUAGAGGACGGUAGAGGGGGGUAGAAUUGCCGGUGUAGUGGUGAAAUGCGUAGAGAUCGGGAGGAACACCAGUGGCGAAGGCGGCUCGCUGGGCCGGACCUGACGCUGAGACGCGAAGGCGUGGGGAGCGAACGGG
rnacentral:rRNA from 1 species